rnacentral:rRNA from 1 species
CCUACGGGUGGCUGCAGUGGGGAAUAUUGCACAAUGGGCGCAAGCCUGAUGCAGCCAUGCCGCGUGUGUGAAGAAGGUCUUCGGGUUGUAAAGCACUUUCAGCGGGGAGGAAGGCGGUGAGGUUAAUAACCUCAUCGAUUGACGUUACCCGCAGAAGAAGCACCGGCUAACUCCGUGCCAGCAGCCGCGGUAAUACGGAGGGUGCAAGCGUUAAUCGGAAUUACUGGGCGUAAAGCGCACGCAGGCGGUCUGUCAAGUCGGAUGUGAAAUCCCCGGGCUCAACCUGGGAACUGCAUUCGAAACUGGCAGGCUAGAGUCUUGUAGAGGGGGGUAGAAUUCCAGGUGUAGCGGUGAAAUGCGUAGAGAUCUGGAGGAAUACCGGUGGCGAAGGCGGCCCCCUGGACAAAGACUGACGCUCAGGUGCGAAAGCGUGGGGAGCAAACAGGAUUAGAUACCCGGGUAGUC